GCUCAGUAACACGUGGCCAAACUACCCUGCAGACAAGAACAACCUCGGGAAACUGAGGCUAACACUUGAUACGCGUUGACUGUUGGAAGACAUCGACGUUCAAACGCUCCGGCGCUGUAGGAUGUGGCUGCGGCCGAUUAGGUAGACGGUGGGGUAACGGCCCACCGUGCCGAUAAUCGGUACGGGUUGUGAGAGCAAGAGCCCGGAGACGGAAUCUGAGACAAGAUUCCGGGCCCUACGGGGCGCAGCAGGCGCGAAACCUUUACACUGCACGCCAGUGCGAUAAGGGAACCCCGAGUGAAAGGGCAUAUCGCCCUUUCUUUUCUGAACCGUAGGGAGGUUCAGGAACAAGAGCUGGGCAAGACCGGUGCCAGCCGCCGCGGUAAUACCGGCAGCUCGAGUGAUGACCGAUUUUAUUGGGCCUAAAGCGUCCGUAGCUGGCCGCACAAGUCUGUCGGGAAAUCCGCCCGCUUAACGAGUGGGCGUCCGGCGGAAACUGUGCGGCUUGGGACA
rnacentral:rRNA from 1 species